UUGCCUGGCAUGCAGUCAUGUGAUGGCCCUUAACAUAUUACCCCAGCAAAGGAUAGUUCUAAAAUGAAACAACAUAAGCACACUCAUUGGUAUCGUAUUAGACAGACGAUUCUGAUUUUUUUCCUUUAGAAGGUUAUCUGGCCUUUUGGUUGCAUUUCCUGGCCAAAGUUGGUCUUUGCACCAAUGGGACAACGGGUCACCUAGUAUGAUCAAAGACCGUGGGUGGGUGUCCUUUUGUUUCAGUUCUGCACAGAACCUUAGAAUAUAAAUCAUUUGCUAGUUGCUUGUUCUGGGAAUUAUAGUGGAAUCAAGACGCGGGUCGUUUGGAAAGAAAGAGCUAAGGCCAUGUCAUUUGAAAUUCAUCCAUUAAACCUCAUCUACAAGUGCAUUGCUGCUACUUUCCCCAUGCUCAUUUAUUACAUUUGUUUCAUGUUGUUUAGUUGGUGAGGCACUUGUGUAUAGCACUUAUGCAACCACGAUAUCAUUUCUCGAUUGAUAAAUAGUCUACACUUACAGUUGAGUGCAAAAGUAGCGUUUUACCGGUUAUGCAAGCACGUGGAGGAAAAACAUGAAAAUGUGUGCAGGUUUUUACUAGUUUAGAUGAUGAUAAUACUUGGAGCAGGAGAUAACGGGAAAUUGAGUUUGUGUCCUACAUGAAAUUUGACAGGUAUCACCAGUCUUCAACAUAGCCACACUACAAUGUUCAGAGAACUAUAUUGCAUCAGAAGGCAUAAGUGGCCAAGUCGGUGAACGACAACCUUUAGUUCUUGUGUAUGUGAUUAGAGCGGUCGAUGGCUCUCAUGUGUGUACACCAUUUGCGGGAAGGACGUAGUCAUCGACACCGUCGAGAUGACAUGAUCAACUACCUUAUAUGGAUUACACUGAUUGCGGACAUUAGCCCCUAUAACUAGGAAAUCACCGCAAAGAAAAUAUUGUUCCUUUUUGAAAAGGUCUAUGGGGAUCACUUUUCCCAAUGGUAAUAGGCCCGACUAUUCUAAGGUGACCAAUUUAAAGUGGGCAAAAACAUUUCGCUGUGGAUUGCAGUUCUAAUUUACUCUCAACGUCAUUUAGAGAGAGAGAAAAAUAUGUAGUUAGUCAAGUCGAAAAGGCUCAAGUCACAAAAAUCAACACUUUUGUCCACCUCAUAACCUAGAGCCAUUUUGUUUGUUGCAAAUUCACCGGAUUAAAUGACAUCAUCAUUCGUCGAAGUUGUACCAUGGUGGUUUAGUUGGUGUGUUUCAGUUGUGGCUCACGUCCUUGUCUUUGGGUUGAUCUAUAUAUAACCGCUACUUCCAACAUUGCAAAGUUCAUAACAAAAAGGAAAUCAUAAGGUAGUAGCAUAUCAGUUAUGAUUAAGCAAGUAUUCCUAAAAGCAGACACAAGUUUUCUCACAUGUUGAGACGACAAGAACAUAUUGUUAGAGUAGGAGGUAUGUCAAAAUUGAGUUUGUGACAAGUUUUUUGACAUGCUUGAAUGACAACAACAUAUUGUUACACAGUCCCUAUAAGUUAUCUUUGUUUCCGCAUCAAACUCCUACCAACCCUGAAUUUUAAAAGGCUCCACGUCCUACUUGCUUGUCAAUAUGGUGCUCAAAGCCCACACCUUUUUAUGUCACUAGAGAGUAUUAAUUAUGUUCAUUGAAUUUGACGUACUCACAAAUGGAAAUUAAAUCAAAAGGGAUGCAAUUCUAAUUAAGAGGACUAACAGCUGAACCUGUAUUGCAGGCCAUCAGAUCAUAUCAUAUGUAUGAUGUGUGCAUUUUCUUUUUUUAAACAAAGGGAAUAUAUUAAUAUUGCGCAGAUACCACUUACAGUCAGCCUCUGCAAUAGCGAAAUGUCCUAAGAAAAUUACGGAUGCACACAGCCUAAAAACAAAACGAAAGAUCCCGCUACAAUGAUCAAUUCCUAGUAACUGCAGCAAGGCAUGUAUGCAUUUUCUAGUGUCAAAUGCUUGUUGUAGCACACUUUUAGUGACCCUCACAACUUUAUAAUCAUCUCCUAGCUAGUGCAUUCGAGCAUAACUUGUUACAAACCUCUCUAUUAAAAAGUGUGGAAAAACUCCAUAUUCUGAUAGUCAUUCCAUCAGUCUGGUCUUGAACGGUGGAUCUGGAUCUCUCCAUCCAAUGAUCUCAAUUCUUCUUGCUUAUUUCCUGUUUUACGUUUCAACCUCCCGAGUAGUACUCCAGUUAUGGCUCACAUCAUAGUCGAGACCAUGCAUCUUCAUACAUCUACAUGUUCUAGCCAAUGUUCAGUGCCCAGUGCCCAUCCAUCAAGAAUACCCAAUGAAGGGCCAUCAACAGGAAGCAACCCCAAUUAAUAAUACCUACCGUGAAUUAAGACAUGUGGUCUGGACGUUGUGCUACAUCAAGAUAUGUUAAAUUCGAAAAUGCAUCGUGUUUUAAGUUUUUAAUUACAAGUCUCCUCUUUCUACACCCCCUCCUCCACUCCUCAACAUUUGAAUCCUAUAUUUCAUGCUCUGUUAAGUCAUGGUUUACAUGUCUUUAAGAUGUGUUUGAUUUCCUUCUACUCUCAUUCCGCACUCGUUCUCAGUAGGCUAACACACAAUAUUUUCACUUGUUCGCCACAUGGCAUUCGAAACCUUGAGAGAUCGCCUAUUUUUAUCAUCCAUCGAUCAAAAAAAAGUAGACCAAAUGUUCAUGUAUCUAAAUGCAUAGUUGCCUUACGUUCUUGAUGCUUAGGAGGCACAGUGAAUUUCACAACAUCUAGAAGUCAAAAAGGAUCAAGUAUCUGCGAAUGUAGUGCUCUCGCAUUCAUGAAACAGUAACAACGGGUAAAGAGAACUGCGACCCCCGCAUUGCCCCCGCUCGGGCCAUCUGACUUCGGACCAGCGAUGGCGGUGUGGAGUGCCUUGUGGACAGGCCGGUGGCAUGCGUGGUCCUGCCUCUGCUCUGAUCUGAUCUAGCCGGUGUGGCCUACGUGCUGCACGGUGGCAAAGAUCGGUGGCAACCUAUGCACACGAUGCUAGAUGGAGGUUCAUCGAGCAGAUCCGAGUGAAAAGCUUGCUCUCGGCUAGUUGCCAAGGCCGGCAUGGCGGCGCUCUUCUGUGUUGUCCCCUUCUUGAAGGCAUCGCCGUCGAGAAUUUCCAGACCUCUGUCCGCUACAUCCGGGGGAAACCCUACAUCAGUCGAUCAGAUGACGUCGGCACUCUUGUGUCAUUCCUCCCAUGGGGGCAUCAUUCUUGGAGUUGUGCAUUGGCUCGAGGGACCAGUGGACAAUUUCAACGGCUGAGCGGCGUUUCAUGUGACGCAUCAACGACGUGGUGACUCGGCGGCGUGGCGCCGUAGGGUCUCAGUGAAGGAUGCGUGAUGAUGGAUGUGCGUAGGGAGGUGGCGUUGUCUAGCACCGUGGUGGUGUCGACGGCAAGCCUGGCAACGUCAAUGCAUCGGUACUUGCUCUGAAGAUGGAUCGAUGAAAGAAGGUGGCAGCGGCCUCUACAGCGUGUGCCCGCUAAGAGUGUGUUGGACCGGUAUCUGCCCCGGACCCUGCGAUUGCAACUUGGUUGAGUUCUCCGGUUUUAGAUGUUAGGUUUUGGUGUGAGGUUUGGGCUGGCGGCCCCGAUAAUACACACCCCUUCAUCAAGUUGAUGGGAGUAACGUCGGAUGAUGCCAAGAUGAUGGCUUUAGAUUUAUUGAUGUAUUGCUUUGUAAAGUCUUGAUGAAUAAGUAAUAAAAUGGUUGCAUGCAUCGCCUGAUGCAGGCAGAGGCCCGGGGUCGUUCUCCUUUUCGAAGAAAAAAAUCUACGAAUGUAGAUCUUAAAUCAAAAUGCAGUAUCAACCACCGCACUAGUGCAAUCAUGCUGGAUCAAAGUUUGGUCAUUGACUAUCAUCACGGAAAUGGAUACUAACAAAAUUUGGUAGAGCUUUUCACACAUAUGUACCGCCUAUGAUUUUAUUGUUGAAAAUAAAUAAUUACGUUCAACCAUUGUGGACUUAAUAAGAUAGAAUUAAAUCAUUAAGCUUAACCUUUUCUUUAAGGGAAGCAUCAUUACUACCAGCCUCUGCAGCAAGGAAUGAUCCGGACAACCACCACAGAUAAAUCAGCCAAACACAAAUUAGUCGCAACUAGUAUAUCCAAAGGCUCUAGUUUUCUUUCUAUUUUUCAUAACUAAAAACGCAACACAACUCAAACAGGUCUCCCAAUAAUCUGCUCAAUUUUCUUCCUACGUAGGGUCAGUAGCCCUCCUUUAAUUAGGGCCUCGAUUUGCCACCACCAGCUCUCGUUCAAGUUGGUUGUGCUAUCUGGAAUCUACAUUUGUCUGUGUCUAUUGUACAUGCCAUCCGACAUGUAAAGAUAGUUAGGCAUUGUAUAGCAACUUGCAUAAGUACGUGACCCGGCCUCCCUUCUUGCACCCUCCAAGAGCUGUGAAGCACCCAAAUGUUCAUAGCCGACCCAUCUACGAUCUCCGGUUAGUAUCCUUAUCCAUGAAAUGCAAAUUUGGUUUCUUUUACGCUUUAAACUUUCAGUGUACCACACCUUGUCAUACUCGUCCAUGGGAGUGUAUUGGGCAUGAUGGAUAUGGGUUGAUGGCCUGUGGGACAGGGCCGAUGACUUGCCUCCGCUAGCUAAAAUGAAAGCAGCUUCUGCUAAGUGAGACAUCGAACAGAAAGGAAUUGAACAUGUCUUGUUCCUCUGCCCUUCCGUACUACUCUGAAUCCUUUGCUUUUCGGUGGCUGCUCUCCACAAACAACAAGUGUCCCUCGGUGGCAGCUCUUCACAAGAUGUAUUUAUAUCAUCGACAUUUUGUUCGACGAUGCCGUGGCCUGAGGCUAUGACACAUCUCUCUCCAUCCCCAUCGUUGUUUUGGUACCCAUUGACACAGAUAUUUGCCCCUGCCUUUUAAGAUCCACUUGCAUCCCAUAUCCUUAAAAGGAGCCUCUUUCCUUAUUCCCACUCAUUCCACACAUGUACCAUUCAAAAUUAUCACCUUGCAUGUGGCGGGGGUUCAGCACCUAUGGUUUUAUGAUCUUCUUGAUCCUACUUGCCACCCGUGAUGUUAUAAAAUACCAUGAUGAAUAAUUUGUGUAUGUGCUCGGACUCCUAGGAAUAGGAGGAAUGGGGAAGCUCACUAUAUCCAUGCCACUUAGUAUAUCGUGAGUCAAAGAAUGAAGAUCUAUGAGCUAGCGUGUAGAAGUUUGCUCUUUAUUCUAUGCUCGAAAGGAAUUAUAAAAAUGGUCUCGACGAAGAUCUGUGAAAUGUACGAAGUUCCAGUAUGUGGAAAUAUAAGAAAUAUAUUGCUUACAAAGUUUUGAACGUCGGUACUCAAUCAAUAUUUGACUUAUGUGAUACAAAAUGACAAUAUUAGGUAAAUAUUUGUAAACAAGAAACUAUUGGCAAUAAUUUUACAGCAUGCUACUCCCUCCGGUCACGAAUAUAAGACGUAUUGGAUACUACAAUAUGGACUACCACAUGCAAACUGAAAUUAGUGAACAAACGCACUGACACAUGUCGAUAUACAUCCGAUUCAGACAAAAGUUAAAACAAAUAAAGCCCAACUGUUUAUAAGUGUAUACGUGUACACAAAUACUAUAUACAUGUACACAUCUGAGCUUCGACGUCACUGACUUCGAUUGCACGCAAUAUGGUCGAGAGUAGUGUAGAUACUAUUUUGCAGGCACGCAUCUUUUCUAUCAACGUCACUCAUGCUCUGUGUUCGAAAAACCCCGGCGAGAUCAUUUCUCAAUAGAAGCAAGUUGCUGAAAGCAAACUCAGCGACAUCGACGUAGCCUAAACUAUUGCCACAAACCUUGUCGACAGGCCGUAUAACUUCUUCGCAGCCUACGCGUGAUGAUUUUGACUGACACGCUCUUCUGUGUGAUCGCGACUGUACCUGUACGCAGCACCGCCCAGCUAACUCAUUCAGUGCAUCUAGUUUCUCCGGCGCUACUAUAUGUCUGUGUGUGUGAGAGAGAGAGAGGGGCUUUGUGAGCUGUUAGUUGUCCAGUACAUUUGUAUCUUUCCGUGUUGUUUUCAACAUUGCUAAUUCAAGACCUGUCUCGUCUCGAAAUUUCUCUCUAGAAUGAUCCAUAUAUGUAAAUAGUCGUGCACUAGCUAGUAGCUAGGCACACAGUGAUGCUUAGAUCAGAUAGCUUUGACGAUGUUUCGCCAACCCUUGGUUUCUUCUCGCUAAUUAAUUUGGUUCAGUGGAGCAACCGGUAGGUAUAUACCAACUACAAAUUCCUCUCCGUCGUUAGUGCAGUGACAGAUAUGUUCCUUUUUCUUAGCCAGCAAGGAUAUAUCUGAUUUUUUAAAUAAUUACCGCCAAGAAAAUAUCGGAUAUGUUGGCAAAAAAAAAUCUUCUAUGAAACCAUUAAGUAUGACACUUCGCGCUGGAUCAAAGUUUGGUCGUUGACUAUCAUCAAGGAAAUGAAUUAUAACAAAAUCUUGUAGAGCAUUUCAGACAUAUGUAACACCUUUUCUUUUCCUUUUUAACAUAAACAAUUAUGUUCAACCAUUUUGUAGCUAAUAAGGGAGAAUUAAAUCAUAAAACACAAAUUAAGGUUAACCUUUUCUUUAGAAAGGAAAGCAUCAUUACUACUCGUCUCUGCAGCAAGGAAUGAUCUGGAUAACCACGGUACAAAUAAAUCAGCAAAACAUAAAUUAGUCGCAGCUUGGUGUUACCGUUUUACGAAUGAUUUUGAGAAAAAAUCAUUUGGAUAGCUCACCUGGCUUCUUGGCGAGUGGCUAGCUCCACGGCUUAUUGGGUUAUUGGCGUGCACCAAGCUGGGUUAUGCCGGGCACCACUCCUGCUCUGUUACCACGUUGGUGGGUGAAUGUUGCUUUCCAGAUUAAGGUUUGGACCACUUUUGUUGUGUUAUCGGUGGCCGGUUAGGUAGGCUUGGGGAGGCUGGUUCUCGGAUUGUUCGGGUCAAAGCCCUGUUGCUCAGUUCGUCCAUUUUGGUGUUGCCUAGCAUGCAGUCAUGCGAUGGCCCUAACCUAUUACCCUAGCAAAGGAUAGUUCUAAAAUGAAACAACAUGAGCACACUCAUUGGUAUCGUAUUACGUAGAUAAUUCUGAUUUUUUUUCCUUUAGAUGGUUAUCUGGCCUUUUGGUUGCAUUUCCUGGCCAAAGUUGGUCUUUGCGCCAAUGACACAACGGGUCACCUGGUAUGAUCAAAGACCGUGGGUGGGUGUCCUUUUGUGUCAGUUCUGCGCACAACCUUAGAAUAUAAAUUAUUUGUUAGUUGCUUGUUCUAGGAAUUAUAGUGGAAUCAAGACGUGGGGUCGUUUGGAAAGAAAGAGAUAAGGCCAUGUCGUUUGAAAUUCAUCCAUUAAACCUCAUCUGCAAGUGCAUUGGUGCUAUUUUCCCCACACUCAUUUAUUACAUUUGUUCCAUGUUGUUUAGUUGGUGAGGCACUUGCGCAUAGCACUUAUGGAACCACGAUAUCAUUUCUCGAUUGAUAAAUAGUCUACACUUACG
rnacentral:lncRNA from 1 species